UACGGAGGGUGCAAGCGUUGUUCGGAAUCACUGGGCGUAAAGGGCGCGUAGGCGGCCUGUUAAGUCUGAUGUGAAAGCCCGGGGCUCACCCCCGGAAGUGCAUUGGAAACUGAUGGACUCGAGUCCCGGAGAGGAGAGUGGAAUUCCUGGUGUAGCGGUGAAAUGCGUAGAUAUCAGGAGGAACACCGGUGGCGAAGGCGGCUCUCUGGACGGUGACUGACGCUGAGACGCGAAAGCGUGGGGAGCAAACAGG
rnacentral:rRNA from 1 species